rnacentral:lncRNA from 1 species
UAUCAGCCCAUAUGAAAUCAAUCAUAAAGAACAGGGUUAUUCGUGACAUUUCAAUAAUUUCUCACCAUCGCAAAAGAAAAGGGCAAGGAUUAUUACACAUUUGAAGAUAGCUAAGGUAAAGCUAGCAAUGGUCUAAAGGAUCACAAACAUUUCUCAUCCAUAAAAGUCUUCGUCAUUAGAAUCCGAAUCUCUGCCUCAUGAACUGCAUCUGCUUAGAAUCUUCACCUGGAAAUUCUGAAUCCUACAACAAUUUGAUCAUAUAUCUUCACCACAAAGCUAGCUGAAGUAUGCUUCCAGCCAGCAAUAUAAAUGGCAAUCCAACAGUGAAGCUCCGGGCAGCCCUCGAAAAAUUAGCAUCAACAGGAUAUAAAUUCCCUGGUGGACCUGUUACAUAUAUGUACUGAGAAGGUGGAGUGGGCACAACGGGCCAGCCUGAUGAACCAGGGGGAGGAGGGCAGGCUGGAGUAGGCGGCUUCUUGGGAGGCGGUGGUGGCGGAGGCAGCGCCGGAGGGGGUGGAGGCAGUGUCGGCGGCGGCGGUGGCGGUGAAGGCACGGGACAUGGAUUGUUGCAAGGACAGCCUCCACACUUGUUUCCUUCAUCAGGGCUCCCUGGAGCCUGUCCAUUAAUUGGAACUGCUAGAGCAAAAAUGACCAAAAUUACUGCCAACCGCAACAUUUUGAUCCUGGCUAGCUAGCCACUGGAAAUUAAACUGACCUUGAUGGGGCUUGAUAAUGUUUUUUAGCUGAUUGGUUUUGAUGACUAAAAUUGAUGGUCGGUGUAGUGAUUGGUGACUAUUCUUGGUGUAGAAAGAAGAAGAAGGUAGAAAGAAAGAAAGAAAAUGAAUGAUGAUGAAGUCUUGAAGAGCGGAUUGCUUACGCUUCUAGGUGCAUGAAAGUCACCAAAGACAGAAAAAUAAAGGUCAUAUGUUUAGUAAUUGGGGUUAGACAUUAAGCAAAUAGGAGUGUGACAUGGACUGUCUC